rnacentral:rRNA from 1 species
UACAGAGGGUGCGAGCGUUAAUCGGAAUUACUGGGCGUAAAGCGCACGUAGGUGGUUUGCUAAGCCAGCUGUGAAAUCCCCGGGCUCAACCUGGGCACUGCAGUUGGAACUGGCAAGCUAGAGUAGGGUAGAGGGGUGUGGAAUUCCAGGUGUAGCGGUGAAAUGCGUAGAUAUCUGGAGGAACAUCAGUGGCGAAGGCGACACCCUGGACUCAUACUGACACUGAGGUGCGAAAGCGUGGGGAGCAAACAGG